AGUGAACGCUGGCGGCGUGCUUAACACAUGCAAGUCGAACGAGAACGGAUUAUAGCUUGCUAUAAUUGUCAGCUAAGUGGCGCACGGGUGAGUAAUGUAUAGGUAAUAUGCCUCUUACUAAGGGAUAACAAAUGGAAACGUUUGCUAAUACCUUAUACUCCUUAUUAACAGAAGUUAAUAAGGGAAAGAUUUAUUGGUAAGAGAUUAGCCUGUAUUGUAUCAGUUAGUUGGUGGGGUAAUGGCUUACCAAGACUAUGACACAUAACUGGUUUGAGAGGAUGAUCAGUCACACUGGAACUGAGGCCCGGUCCAGACUCCUACGGGAGGCAGCAGUGGGGAAUAUUGCACAAUGGACGAAAGUCUGAUGCAGCAACGCCGCGUGGAGGAUGACACAUUUCGGUGCGUAAACUCCUUUUAUAUGAGAAGAUAAUGAUGGUACUAUAUGAAUAAGCACCGGCUAACUCCGUGCCAGCAGCCGCCGUAA
rnacentral:rRNA from 1 species